rnacentral:rRNA from 1 species
UCGAGGGGAAACGGCAUUGGGUGCUUGCACUGAAUGGACGUCGACCGGCGCACGGGUGAGUAACGCGUAUCCAACCUUCCCGUUACUGCGGGAUAACCUGCCGAAAGGCAGACUAAUACCGCAUGUUCUUCGAUGACGGCAUCAGAUUCGAAGCAAAGAUUCAUCGGUAACGGAGGGGGAUGCGUCUGAUUAGCUAGUUGGCGGGGCGACGGCCCACCAAGGCGACGAUCAGUAGGGGUUCUGAGAGGAAGGUCCCCCACAUUGGAACUGAGACACGGUCCAAACUCCUACGGGAGGCAGCAGUGAGGAAUAUUGGUCAAUGGGCGGAAGCCUGAACCAGCCAAGUAGCGUGCAGGACGACGGCCCUACGGGUUGUAAACUGCUUUUAUGCGGGGAUAAAGUGAGGGACGCGUCCCUUUUUGCAGGUACCGCAUGAAUAAGGACCGGCUAAUUCCGUGCCAGCAGCCGCGGUAAUACGGAAGGUCCGGGCGUUAUCCGGAUUUAUUGGGUUUAAAGGGAGCGUAGGCCGGGGAUUAAGUGUGUUGUGAAAUGUAGGCGCCCAACGUCUGACUUGCAGCGCAUACUGGUUCCCUUGAGUACGCGCAACGCCGGCGGAAUUCGUCGUGUAGCGGUGAAAUGCUUAGAUAUGACGAAGAACCCCGAUUGCGAAGGCAGCCGGCGGGAGCGCAACUGACGCUGAAGCUCGAAGGUGCGGGUAUCGAACAGGAUU